CCCAGACCAUCUCUAGGUCCAGGCUUAUUUCUCCCACGGGUGUGUGGUGACUGGAAGGGUUUCUGUUAUAGGGCUAGUAAAAGACUGGUCACAGUUUUAGAAGAAACCAAACAGUGUGAUCUAUAGUGUGUGCUGCGGACCCCGGAGUUCAAGGUUAGACCAGGAGCAGACGCUGACCUCACACUUCUGAUAGACAAAUGAAGAAGUCAGCACCUCAACCUGAGCUUAAAACAAGAUGCCAGAAGAAAAGAUCAAAGAGCUUAAGACGGAAUUCCAGAAAAAUCAAAUGCAGGAACACUGGCGGUCAAGUUACUAAUAGAUUUCAGGACCUCUUUUACUAUCUCUAUAGGCAGAUAGAGAGCCAUGCCCACCAUCAUUUCUACCAGUGCCACUUCUACCCGGAGGAGUUGUUCCUUGUCUUCCAAUUCCUUUACCUGGAAUAACUGAUAAACCAUCAUCACCACCAUGGUCCUCUUUGUACAAGGACCUCCUCCUCCAUUACCACCUCUGUUGAGGCAGGAGAAACUUCUCCAGAUCAUCACUUGCUCUAAUUUAAAGGAAUGAAGCAGAAAUAAAUGUAUAAAACUAAA